GUUAUAUUUCUUAAAUAAAACGAUAACCGUUUCAACCGGCAGUUCAGUUGCGAAGCUGAUACACUGUUCACAACAGAAUCAAAGAUCAAAAUCAAUUUUCGGGAUUAACAAAAAAAUUAACGAAAAAGAUUCAAAACGUAAACGUAACGUCGGAUGAAUUCUAAUUUCAAACAAAUCAUUUGACUUCAUGCAACAGCUUUCAGAGUGAAUUCUAAACGCCCAAUUCUUAAAUUAGUGAAUAUUUUUUUUAAUAUGCCAAAGUGCUUCUUCUGUGUUAUUUUUUCCAGCCGCGGCCGUACCAUUCUAUUCCGAACUAAACGUGUAAAAUAACCCUUUAAGCAAAGAUACAUUUACUUUCUCCUCGACUUUUGUGUAAACCAUGUAUGAAUCUUAUGCGAUAAGUGAAACGAAAUGUGCCAGAUUUAAAGUUGCAAUUAUUAAGUGAUACAAAGAAAAGAAGCCGACUAUUUCCUAAAGCCCAGGAGGCCCCGGGAAAACGAGCCUGGCUCGUGUAAGUCACGUGUACUUGCUGGCGUACUUUGACCUUCACAAAUCAGGCCUUGACCAAAGAUGCUAUCCUAAUGUUUUCUACGUGAUUUUAAAACAAGACUACAAUUGGAGAAACAAUGUCAUCGUCAAGUGAUUGGUACCGAUCCACAGAUUGCAGGAGGACCUGCUCCAGCUAAAAGCAGCAAUUGGUGCGAGGUGGCACAGGACCUUUAGUAUGCUGGAAGUGAGUCUUACCCCGAGAUAUCGACCAGGGUCAGCUGCCAGGGCCCCCGUUAAACUCCUGCGCAUCAUAAACACGCUAUUAGGAUGACGAGCACGGAGCUACAUGGCUACAUGACCUUAUCGGGAAUGUUUUAGAGUGUUUUCGAAUAUCUUAGAUGUAAGAAAUUUUACACCGAUUGUUUAUAAUGUACUUUUAAUAAAUAUUUUUUGAUGUCUCUGAUACAUUAUACUACCACUUCCACACAUUUUUA